rnacentral:lncRNA from 1 species
GGGAAGACUGAGGCAAUCGUUGCUGAAGUCAGUGUUGUAAUGGUGAAUUAGGAUUUUUUAAUGAAGUGGGUGUGAUCACUCUUGACUGUUUUGUGAAAUCGGAGUUACGUCUGUGAUUAGAGAAUUAAAAGGAUGUCUAUAGGAUUGAGUAUGCGGAGUGAAUGAAAUUUAUUGGGUUAAUCUAACAAGACAGUCAGUGGAUACAUGAUCGUAAGUAUAAAGCGGUAUCGAAGAUUAGCAGAUUGGGUUGAUCGGGAUUCUCUGUAAUGUCUAGAGACCUACCGGCUGGGGCAAAAAGGACUUCGA